GAAUAAACAAACGGCUCGUCUGAAAUGCCUGAGUGUACCCCGCUUUGCGGCGUAUUCGGUGUGAUAAAUCUUCACCGGAGUUGAUCCUUUACGGGUCGCGUCUGUAACGAGUGUGGCUCUAUGCUUCAAACCGUCUUCUAAGCGAGACAAAACACUGACAAUUUGACCUCAAAUCGGGUGGGACUACCCGCUGAACUUAA
rnacentral:misc_RNA from 1 species